rnacentral:lncRNA from 1 species
GACGGAUGCCUUAUCCUGUGAAUAAACUGGCAGUGUUGAUCUACAGCUGUAUGCAGACCACAUCUUUCUUCCAAAGCUGCAAGGCGCACAUUUAAACUCAAAUCUCAGAGAUUGCAGCACCUAGAUUGCAGUACAAAUUGGUAUGACCAACCAGACCCAGCAACCAUCGAUCUUCAUUCUUUCUGCCACCCUGGAAACUGAAACCUUUUGUAGCAAGAGUUUGGAUGUGGAUAGGAAGAUUGUGUCCAGGAAGCCAAAACCAGAAGAUCAUCUGUUUAAUCCACUCCCAGGAAUAAUGUUUCCACUUCAGUGGAACUCUACAUGUGCUGUCUUCGGGUCACAGCUUUUAACUCUCUCCUGUGUCCCAAACCUGCAACAGUGCUGA